rnacentral:rRNA from 1 species
UACGUAGGGGGCUAGCGUUGUCCGGAAUCAUUGGGCGUAAAGCGCGUGUAGGCGGUUCGGUAAGUCCGCUGUGAAAGUCGGGGGCUCAACCCUCGAAUGCCGGUGGAUACUGUCGAACUAGAGUGCGGAAGAGGCGAGUGGAAUUCCUGGUGUAGCGGUGAAAUGCGCAGAUAUCAGGAGGAACACCGAUUGCGAAGGCAGCUCGCUGGGACGUAACUGACGCUGAGACGCGAAAGCGUGGGGAGCAAACAGG